rnacentral:rRNA from 1 species
GAUGAACGCUGGCGGCGUGCUUAACACAUGCAAGUCGAACGGGAAACCUUUUAUUGAAGCUUCGGCAGAUUUAGCUGGUUUCUAGUGGCGGACGGGUGAGUAACGCGUGGGUAACCUGCCCUAUACAGGGGGAUAACAACCAGAAAUGGUUGCUAAUACCGCAUAAGCGCACAGGGCCGCAUGGUCCGGUGUGAAAAACUCCGGUGGUAUAGGAUGGACCCGCGUUGGAUUAGCCAGUUGGCAGGGUAACGGCCUACCAAAGCGACGAUCCAUAGCCGGCCGGGAAGGGUGAACGGCCACUUUGGGACUGGGACACGGCCCGAACUCCAACGGAGGGAAGAAGGGGGGAAUAUUGCAAAAUGGGGGAACCCUGAUGCAGCGACGCCGCGUGAAGGAAGAAGUAUCUCGGUAUGUAAACUUCUAUCAGCAGGGAAGAUAGUGACGGUACCUGACUAAGAAGCCCCGGCUAACUACGUG